rnacentral:rRNA from 1 species
UACGUAGGGCGCAAGCGUUGUCCGGAAUUAUUGGGCGUAAAGAGCUCGUAGGCGGCUUGUCACGUCGGGUGUGAAAGCCCGGGGCUUAACCCCGGGUCUGCAUUCGAUACGGGCUAGCUAGAGUGUGGUAGGGGAGAUCGGAAUUCCUGGUGUAGCGGUGAAAUGCGCAGAUAUCAGGAGGAACACCGGUGGCGAAGGCGGCACUCUGGGCCGGUACUGACGCUGAGACGCGAAAGCGUGGGGAGCAAACAGG